AGUGAACGCUGGCGGUAUGCCUAACACAUGCAAGUCGAACGGCAGCACAGUAAGAUCUUGCUCUUACGGGUGGCGAGUGGCGGACGGGUGAGGAAUACAUCGGAAUCUACUUUUUCGUGGGGGAUAACGUAGGGAAACUUACGCUAAUACCGCAUACGACCUACGGGUGAAAGCAUGGGAUCUUCGGACCUUGCGCGAUUGAAUUAGCCGAUGUCGGAUUAGCUAGUUGGCGGGGUAAAGGCCCACCAAGGCGACGAUCCGUAGCUGGUCUGAGAGGAUGAUCAGCCACACUGGAACUGAGACACGGUCCAGACUCCUACGGGAGGCAGCAGUGGGGAAUAUUGGACAAUGGGCGAAAGCCUGAUCCAGCCAUACCGCGUGGGUGAAGAAGGCCUUCGGGUUGUAAAGCCCUUUUGUUGGGAAAGAAAAGCAGCAGGUUAAUACCCCGCUGUUCUGACGGUACCCAAAGAAUAAGCACCGGCUAACUUCGUG
rnacentral:rRNA from 1 species